rnacentral:rRNA from 1 species
GAAGCACUUAAGUUUGAUUCUUCGGAUGAAGACUUUUGUGACUGAGCGGCGGACGGGUGAGUAACGCGUGGGUAACCUGCCUCAUACAGGGGGAUAACAGUUAGAAAUGGCUGCUAAUACCGCAUAAGACCACAGUACUGCAUGGUACAGUGGUAAAAACUCCGGUGGUAUGAGAUGGACCCGCGUCUGAUUAGGUAGUUGGUGAGGUAACGGCUCACCAAGCCGACGAUCAGUAGCCGACCUGAGAGGGUGACCGGCCACAUUGGGACUGAGACACGGCCCAGACUUCUACGGGAGGCAGCAGUGGGGAAUAUUGCACAAUGGGCGAAAGCCUGAUGCAGCGACGCCGCGUGAAGGAUGAAGUAUUUCGGUAUGUAAACUUCUAUCAGCAGGGAAGAAAAUGACGGUACCUGACUAAGAAGCCCCGGCUAACUACGUGCCAGCAGCCGCGGUAAUACGUAGGGGGCAAGCGUUAUCCGGAUUUACUGGGUGUAAAGGGAGCGUAGACGGCUGUGCAAGUCUGAAGUGAAAGGCAUGGGCUCAACCUGUGGACUGCUUUGGAAACUGUGCAGCUAGAGUGUCGGAGAGGUAAGUGGAAUUCCUAGUGUAGCGGUGAAAUGCGUAGAUAUUAGGAGGAACACCAGUGGCGAAGGCGGCUUACUGGACGAUGAC